rnacentral:rRNA from 1 species
AUGGGCGCAAGCCUGCNGCACAUGCCGCGUGUGUGAAGAAGGCCUGCGGGUUGUAAAGCACUUUUAUUGGGAAAGAAAAACCCGGAGCUAAUACCUCCGGCAUUGACGGUACCCAAAGAAUAAGCACCGGCUAACUCAGUGCCAGCAGCCGCGGUAAUACUGAGGGUGCGAGCGUUAAUCGGCAAUUACUGGGCGUAAAGCGAGUGUAGGCGGUUGCCUAAGUCGGAUGUGAAAGCCCCGGGCUUAACCUGGGAAUUGCAUUCGAUACUGGGUGACUAGAGUUUGGUAGAGGUAAGUGGAAUUCCGGGUGUAGCGGUGAAAUGCGUAGAUAUCCGGAGGAACAUCAGUGGCGAAGGCGGCUUACUGGACCAAAACUGACGCUGAGGCUCGNAAAGCGUGGGGAGCAAACAGGAUUANAUACCCUGGUAGUCCACGCCCUAAACUAUGUCAACUAGACGUUGGGCUCAUUAAUGAGCUUAGUGUCGUAGCUAACGCGUUAAGUUGACCGCCUGGGGGAGUACGGCCGCAAGGUUGAAACUCAAAAGGAAUUGACGGGGGGCCCGCACAAGCGGAGGANCAUGUGGGUUUAAUUCGAUCCAACGCGAA